AACGAACGCUGGCGGCAGGCCUAACACAUGCAAGUCGAGCGCCCGUAGCAAUACGGGAGCGGCAGACGGGUGAGUAACACGUGGGAACGUGCCCAAAGGUACGGAACAACUCCGGGAAACUGGAGCUAAUACCGUAUGUGCCCGAAAGGGAAGGAUUAUCGCCUUGUAUCGGCCCGCGUCUGAUUAGCUAGUUGGUGAGGUAAUGGCUCACCAAGGCGACGAUCAGUAGCUGGUC
rnacentral:rRNA from 1 species